UACGUAGGAGGCAAGCGUUGUCCGGAAUCACUGGGCGUAAAGCGCGUGUAGGUGGAAGAGGAAGUCUGCUGUGAAAGCGCCUGGCUUAACCGGGCGAGGUCGGUGGAAACUCCUCAUCUAGAGGUCGGUAGAGGGGGGUGGAAUUCCGGGUGUAGUGGUGAAAUGCGUAGAGAUCCGGAGGAACACCUGUGGCGAAGGCGGCCCCCUGGGCCCGCACCUGGACGCUGAGACGCGAAAGCGCGGGGAGCGAACGGG
rnacentral:rRNA from 1 species